UACAUGGGGUGCAAACGUUGCUCGGAAUUAUUGGGCGUAAAGCGCACGUAGGCGGUUGUUAAGUCGGAUGUGAAACCCUCGGCUCAACUGAGGAAGUGCAUCCGAAACUGGCAGGCUUUGAGUACUAAAGAGGGUCGCGGAAUUCCCGGUGUAGAGGUGAAAUUCGUUAGAUAUUAGGAAGAACACCAGUGGCGAAGGCGGCUCACUGGAUCGGUACGUGACGCUGAGGCGGCGAAAAGCUGAGGGGAGCAAACGGGG
rnacentral:rRNA from 1 species